CCUACGGGAGGCAGCAGUAGGGAAUAUUGGGCAAUGGAGGCAACUCUGACCCAGCCAUGCCGCGUGCAGGAUGAAGGCGUUAUGCGUUGUAAACUGCUUUUAUAUAGGAAGAAAGAGUUCUUGCGAGAACAGUUGACGGUACUAUAUGAAUAAGCACCGGCUAACUCCGUGCCAGCAGCCGCGGUAAUACGGAGGGUGCAAGCGUUGUCCGGAUUUAUUGGGUUUAAAGGGUGCGUAGGCGGUUUAUUAAGUCAGUGGUGAAAGACGGUCGCUCAACGAUUGCAGUGCCAUUGAUACUGGUAGACUUGAGUGAGAUUGAGGUAGCUGGAAUGGAUAGUGUAGCGGUGAAAUGCAUAGAUAUUAUCCAGAACACCAAUUGCGUAGGCAAGUUACUAAGUCUCAAACUGACGCUGAGCACGAAGUAGUGGUAGUACAACAGAGUAGUAUACCUACGUAGUCACACUAGUAACGUAUANAUAACUAACUAGUUGUCGUUCGGUUCGU
rnacentral:rRNA from 1 species